rnacentral:rRNA from 1 species
GAUAAACGCUGGCGGCGUGCAUAACACAUGCAAGUCGAACGAUGAAGCUUAGAUGAUUUCUUCGGAAUGAACUUAAGUGGAUUAGUGGCGAACGGGUGAGUAACACGUGAGUAACCUGCCUUACACAAGGGGAUAGCCUCUGGAAACGGAGAAUAAUACCCUAUAAAGUCUAAUCAGCCCAUGCUGGAAAGACCAAAGAUUUAUCGGUGUAAGAUGGACUUGCGUCUGAUUAGCUAGUUGGUGAGAUAAAAGCUCACCAAGGCGACGAUCAGUAGCCGGCUUGAGAGAGUGUACGGCCACAUUGGGACUGAGACACGGCCCAAACUCCUACGGGAGGCAGCAGUGGGGAAUUUUGCACAAUGGGGAAACCCUGAUGCAGCGACGCCGCGUGAUUUAGAAGGCCUUCGGGUUGUAAAAAUCUUUUUUACGGGAUGAAAAUGACAGUACCGUAAGAAUAAGGUCCGGCUAAAUACGUGCCAGCAGCCGCGGUAAUACGUAUGGACCGAGCGUUGUCCGGAAUCAUUGGGCGUAAAGGGUACGUAGGCGGCCUAGUAAGUUAGAAGUUAAAGAAUAUAGCUCAACUAUAUAAAGCUUUUAAAACUGCUAGGCUUGAGAGAUGGAAGGGAAAGUGGAAUUCCUAGUGUAGCGGUGAAAUGCGCAGAUAUUAGGAAGAAUACCGGUGGCGAAGGCGACUUUCUGGUCAUCAUCUGACGCUGAGGUACGAAAGCGUGGGUAGCAAACAGGAUUAGAUACCCUGGUAGUCCACGCUGUAAACGAUGAGUGUUAGGUUCUUGGAAUAAUCUGGGAGCCGCAGCUAACGCAUUAAACACUCCGCCUGGGGAGUACGCACGCAAGUGUGAAACUCAAAGGAAUUGACGGGGACCCGCACAAGCAGCGGAGCAUGUGGUUUAAUUCGACGCAACGCGAAGAACCUUACCAAGUCUUGACAUAUUUCGGAGGGAAUUAGAGAUAAUUCCUUACGACUUCGGUCGACUGAAAUACAGGUGGUGCAUGGUUGUCGUCAGCUCGUGUCGUGAGAUGUUGGGUUAAGUCCCAUAACGAGCGCAACCCCUAUCGUUAGUUACCAUCAUUAAGUUGGGGACUCUAGCGAUACUGCCGGUGAUAAACCGGAGGAAGGUGGGGACGACGUCAAAUCAUCAUGCCCUUUAUGACUUGGGCUACACACGUGCUACAAUGGCAGAUACAGAGGGCAGCGAAAGAGUGAUCUGAAGCGAAACUCACAAAAUCUGUCCCAGUUCGGAUUGUACUCUGCAACUCGAGUACAUGAAGUUGGAGUUGCUAGUAAUCGCGAAUCAGAAUGUCGCGGUGAAUGCGUUCCCGGGUCU